CUGGCAAGAGUGUUUUCCAAGAUAAUAACUGCCAAUUAAACAAAACAAGCAAAAGCAUGGCACAGUGCUGUAUAAAAGAUAUCUGUAAGCAAGCUGCCCCAUGUACCAGAUGCAGUUCAGCAUGCUGCCACAUGCUCUGCCUCCCUCCUGAGAAAAGAGACACAGCAGCCCAGGAGGACUGCAUGCACACAAGGCCACCACGCACCCAGCCUACAGUGCAGAGAUACAGGGAUGCAAGUUAUCUCCCCAGAGCUACACAGUAUCCAUGACAGAGCCAUGCCAGGAGCUUACCAGAAUAAACCCCAAAGGCCCAGCA
rnacentral:lncRNA from 1 species